AUACGUAGGGUGCAAGCGUUAAUCGGAAUUACUGGGCGUAAAGCGUGCGCAGGCGGUUUUGUAAGACAGUGGUGAAAUCCCCGGGCUCAACCUGGGAACUGCCAUUGUGACUGCAAGGCUGGAGUGCGGCAGAGGGGGAUGGAAUUCCGCGUGUAGCAGUGAAAUGCGUAGAUAUGCGGAGGAACACCGAUGGCGAAGGCAAUCCCCUGGGCCUGCGCUGACGCUCAUGCACGAAAGCGUGGGGAGCAAACAGGAUUAGAUACCCUGGUAGUCCACGCCCUAAACGAUGUCAACUGGUUGUUGGGGAUUUAUUUUCUCAGUAACGAAGCUAACGCGUGAAGUUGACCGCCUGGGGAGUACGGCCGCAAGGUUAAAACUCAAAGGAAUUGACGGGG
rnacentral:rRNA from 1 species